rnacentral:sRNA from 1 species
UUUAGGCUUAGGCUUAGGCUUAUGGUUAAUCUUAGUCUUGGGCUUAGGCUUAGGCUU